UACGUAGGGAGCAAGCGUUGUCCGGAAUCAUUGGGCGUAAAGCGCGCGUAGGUGGCCUCGUAAGUCCGCUGUGAAAGUCAAAGGCUCAACCUUUGAAAGCCGGUGGAUACUGUGAGGCUAGAGUACGGAAGAGGCGAGUGGAAUUCCUGGUGUAGCGGUGGAAUGCGCAGAUAUCAGGAGGAACACCUGAGGUGAAGACGGGUUGCUGGGCUGACACUGACGCUGAGGCGCGAAAGCCAGGGGAGCAAACGGG
rnacentral:rRNA from 1 species